ACACUGGGAGGGGUUCCGAACGGCAUGCGGAGUAGUUACCGUGGUCUGAAAUGGGCGUGGAUUUCACGUACUGAUAAGACAAACGUUUGCCGGGUAUCCGUAACAUGAGAGACAUUAUUCAUAAAGACACGGUUCGUCAUACAAGAAUGGCCAUAUUCAACACAUCUAUUUCCAUGAAGCGUGAAAUUUCUUUGUCGUCUUCUGUCAGAAGAAAAAUGAGAAAUAGGACUAUAACGAUAUGUGCAGCGAUGGUUGUGCCAUAUUUAACGGACUUUUUACUGCCUGGUACCACAUGCGGUGCCGGCCACGCGCAACCUUUUCAGCCACCUGGAAGUAUCCUUGAUUAACAUUGCGGUUUGUUUAAUGUGUCUGUGGAGUUGAUAUCUACUUGAGUUCUGUCUUUUUUAUCAGAGUUCAUUUUUUUCAUUUGUCGAUUGUACUAUUGCAAUUUGUCCUUUUCUUACGUUAAAGAACCCCAGUUUAUUUGAAUGUCGUAACGAGACAUCGAUUUAGAUACAGGUACAUUUCUAAGCUAAUUUGCACUUUUCAUCAUUAAUCUGUUAAGUGUUUGUGCGACAUAAACAAAUAAUUGACACGCAUUUUAUCUCGUACUGUGAAGUAUGUGAAUUGUUACUGUAUUAUAGUGUAGUACAUACCAUUUGUUUACCUAUUAUAACCGAUCUAGUUAUAAGGACCAUACACGUGUUUACCAUCCGGCUUAAUGAAUGCCGCGGCCAUAUUUACAUAAUAACUUUAGUCUGUCGUUAAUAGGGAAAUAAUUGAUCACCAUGUCAUCAAGCCAGAACUAAAUUAACUUAUAUUUUAUGUAACAAGUCCUUAACUUUCAAAAAGCAAUAAAGAGGCCACGAUCAAGAAAACGUUGAAGUCAUAUAAGUGUACAUUUGGACGGAGAGUGGUCUUGAAUUACUUUUACAGAAGCACGCUAAUGCACUUCUUGUCAUAGCACACAAUUUACUGUCUCUUUAAGGAAAGUGCACACCUUCUGAACUGGGGUUUAUGCGGUAUUAUUAAGGCCCAUAUCACAGGUGUUCACUCUUUAAUGCCAAACAGGUAAUAUGUAAAAAUACACAUUAAAGGUAGUGAAGAGUAAACAGUUGACAUUAAUACUUCCCUGCCACAUUAAAUAUGAUUUGUUUUGGUCAGCGUCUGGUGUAACUGCUAACGUCGUUAUAUGGAUAUCAGGAACAGGAAUAGUGUACGAAUCUUGGUAUUUAAAACAACACCGAUCUUAUUCUUGUCUAUUUUUCGAAAUGUUUAAAUCAAUUAUACUUUCAUCUUUUAGUUCAGCGAUUCUGUUUUACCCAAAACAUAAACAUUAUUUUUUGUUAGAUGAUUUUGCUUAAGCGGUUCUAACUUUAAAUAAAAACAACAUCAUGAUAACGCAAAUUGAAAUCAGCUAUCAUCUUUACAAAUUCCUCCAUAACACUGUCUGAAUGAUACAAACUCACAAAUCAUUUGAAUCUAAUUUAUUUCAAUAACACAGCCACUAAUUAUUUUUUUUAAAUAUAAGAAGAAAUAAAUUAAGUUCUCGAACAAAACGUUUUAAAUCUUAUCAUUAUAACGUGGUAUUAACAUGAUUUCCUAAAUGUACCAUAUACAUUAUUUUUAAGAAAGAUGUUCUUUUAAUUAUCAGGUGUUUCCAACAAACCUUUAAAUCCAUUAAUUAGUAACGAACUAUAGUAAGAUAUGAUUUAAAUAACUUAAACUUUUUAUUUAACAUUGUGAUUACUCUGUUAGUAGUACUUAUUUGAAUUAUACAUAUUGAAACCCGUUUGCCAAUGUUUUCGUUGUUCUAUAAAUAUAUUGAUAAACUCAUCUGUGUUUCAAACAUGUUUUCUAUGUGCAUUGUUCAAAAUGAAUCUUAAUGGCGUUAGAUUUGUCAGUGUCACUUAGAAAACAUGAAUUUUUGACGAUUUUGUUUGCCUUGGAAAUGUGUUCAAUACAAAAUUGUUGUCAUAACGGUGUCAUGAUAUAAAUGACGAGAACUGACAAUACAUUUGUAAAAGAAAAAUCAGAAUGUGUAAUUGUUGGAAGCUACUGUGGAAAUAAAUGUUUGUGUAUUAUCGCUAAGAUAUUUGAAUUUUGUAUUUGAAGUUUGUUUAGGCAUUGCAUAAAUUACACAAUGGGUUUUUUUCCCCCAAAUAUUGUAUAUUGUAUUUGUGACUACCUGUUGCUUUUUAUAUGCCUCAGGUUUUUAUGUGAUAAUCCUUUAUGUAAUAAAUGCAGUAUUUAAAUGUAUGUGACACUUUGAAAACAUCAAUAUAUCAAACUUGGUUAAUUUUGUUAAGUCCCUCUGAUCUGUUGGUGAGCAUCAGCCAAAGGCCGUGGGGACAAAACCAGUUUUAUUUUUCAUCAACAGAAAAAAACCACGAAAGGACAGAUAGACAAUUUAUUUACCUACAGUGAAUACAGAAUACUCUUAACCGUAGCCUUGCUAAACAAUACGGCAUGUUAAAAUUAGAUAAUGGUGAUACGUAUUUUGCUCCUGUUCGUGAUCCCUGCUGGGUUACAUUGAUCGAUAAAUCUAUCAAUCUUACGUAAAAGUUUUCAUUAUUUUUUAGUAAACAACGAGAAAUAUCUCGGCAUGCAACCUUACUACGUACUUACAAAACACUUUUGAAUGUUAUACUCAUGUGAUUUCCAUAUAAAUAUCAAUACAUUUGUCUUUAAUAUGACAUGUUAUAAUAAAAACGUAAUUUGCAUGAAUUUGAAUUUUUAUAAAGUGUAACCUAUAUAUAACUGACUGCACACUAAUAGAAACGCACCGUUUAAUGUUUUCAAAUUUGAAAUUGUAUUCGAAAGCCGUUUCAUUAAAUAUCAAAACCGUCCAUUUUCGACGUAUCUAUAAGCAAUUUAUACUUAAACAAAUAUCAAGAAAUGUCAAAAUCGUUCUCGUUUGCAUAAUCUAUAUACUUUUCCCAAAUAAUAAAAAAAAACAUGAAGAUUCUGUGCAUGUUAUAAAAGAUAACAUUUCAAGACUCUUUUAUUUAUUAUUUUAGGUAUGUUUUACCUACGAUAACCUUCUCAUACUAUUUGAAUAUAUAUAUCAUUUACAAA